rnacentral:tRNA from 1 species
GGGGAUGUAGCUCAGUGGGAGAGUGCUUACCUAGCAUGAGAAAGAACCUGGGUUCAAUUCUCAGCACCACAA